GGCGCCGUGGCUUAGUUGGUUAAAGCGAUUGUCUAGUAAACAGAAAUUCACGAGUUCGAAUCUCGUCGGUGCCU